GACGAACGCUGGCGGCAUGCCUAAUACAUGCAAGUCGAGCGAACAGAUGAAGUGCUUGCACUUCUGACGUUAGCGGCGAACGGGUGAGUAACACGUAAGGAAUCUACCUAUAAGCGGGGGAUAACAUUCGGAAACGGGUGCUGAUACCGCAUAAUAUCUUCUUCCGCAUGGAAGAAGAUUGAAAGACGGCUCUGCUGUCACUUAUAGAUGACCUUGCGGUGCAUUAGUUAGUUGGUGGGGUAAUGGCCUACCAAGACAAUGAUGCAUAGCCGACCUGAGAGGGUGAUCGGCCACAUUGGGACUGAGACACGGCCCAAACUCCUACGGGAGGCAGCAGUAGGGAAUCUUCCGCAAUGGGCGAAAGCCUGACGGAGCAAUGCCGCGUGAGUGAAGAAGGCCUUCGGGUCGUAAAACUCUGUUAUAAGAGAAGAACAAAUUGUAGAGUAACUGCUACAGUCUUGACGGUAUCUUAUCAGAAAGCCACGGCUAACUACGUGCCAGCAGCCGCGGUAA
rnacentral:rRNA from 1 species